GAUGAACGCUAGCGGCAGGCUUAACACAUGCAAGUCGAGGGGUAUGCCGAUUUAUCGGCAGAGACCGGCGCACGGGUGCGUAACGCGUAUGCAAUCUGCCUUUCACAGAGGGAUAGCCCAGAGAAAUUUGGAUUAAUACCUCAUAGUAUAGUAAGUUGGCAUCAACCUGCUAUUAAAGUCACAACGGUGAAAGAUGAGCAUGCGUCCCAUUAGCUAGUUGGUAAGGUAACGGCUUACCAAGGCUACGAUGGGUAGGGGUCCUGAGAGGGCGAUCCCCCACACUGGUACUGAGACACGGACCAGACUCCUACGGGAGGCAGCAGUGAGGAAUAUUGGUCAAUGGGCGCAAGCCUGAACCAGCCAUGCCGCGUGCAGGAUGACGGUCCUAUGGAUUGUAAACUGCUUUUGUACGAGAAGAAACACUCCUACGUGUAGGGGCUUGACGGUAUCGUAAGAAUAAGGAUCGGCUAACUCCGUGCCAGCCGCCGCCGUAAUAC
rnacentral:rRNA from 1 species